ACAUCUGUCUACAUGGAGUCUACAGACCUUCUUUGGGAAGAGGAAUCGUAGGAGAACUAUUGACUUUCUUCAAGCAGUAUCAUGGCUGGAUUUGUGUUUUAGGAUAAUCUCCUUGGCUCCUGUGUGGGGUAGAUUCAGAAGUCUUGAUACUUUCCUGCAAGGAGCUACCUGCCGAGUGGAGGUCAGGACAUAAUUUUGAGCUCUUGGCAUAAUUAUUUUGAUGAAGUGCAUCCCAAGAUGAGAGCCUCACUGAAGUCUAUUUGACAAGAACGCAGAGCAGUAAAGGGGAGAAGAAAGCUGGGUGUGCAGCUCAGAAGCCACAGAUAAAUGGGGUCUAUUCACAAGGCAGUGUGAAAAACGGGAGAGUGAUGGUAGCCAUUUUGCAAGGUGCGGGACUUAUGGACUCAUAAGUCUUUUAGAACUUGGCAAUUGUGCUUCAAAAUGAUGGAGAAAAAUGAGCAAGUGACUGCACACCAAAUAUAACCCACCUUUCUGAGAGCAGGAAGCAGGAGCCCACGCUCAUGCCUCAUGUGGCAUUUCUGUGCACGAUCCAUCAUCUGGGCUGGGGAAUUCACAGGCCUUGGAAACCUCUGCAGAGCUUCAAAGCCAAAGCUAAUCCUGCCUGCUUCUACACGAAAGUGACGGAGCUUCCUGACCUGAACUACCAAUUAGGAGAAUGGGUAGCCUGUGGGGCUGAAGCCAGCACACACACAUUCUCACUGAAUGCUGCAUUUAAUUUAAUUAAAAGAACAUCCCUGUCCCACCCUGGGAAGAGAAUGCACACAUGAGAACGAGAGAAAAAUGAUCAUGAAGCAGCGAACGGGGAGUGAAGAUACCUGUCAUGGAACGGAGGGGUUUCUCCCUUCGGAUGCCUGUGUUUUCAAAAUGAAAGGUUAGUGCCUGGUGCAUGUUGUUACCACGCCUGGCAUUGCCCAAGCCUGGCAUCAACAGAGUACGAGCAGGACGGUCUCUGUGGCAUCGGGUGAUUUACACUGAGCAAGGACUGAGUGCUGCUUUGAGGACAAAGUACCAGUCAUGGGACCCAGUGGCAGCCCUCUCUCUCAAGGAGUGUGUAGUCGGGCCCGGAUAGAGGUGGGUCACAUGACUCCUUGCUUGUGCCAACAAGAGGUUUCUCCACACGACAUUGUAAUUGAUACUCAGACUUUUUCUUUGGAUUUAUCUUCUCUCACAAGUUUUGCAACGUUUAAAUGGCCAGAGAGCGAUGAGAAUUGGGAUUCUGCGGUUCUGUCUCAGGCUCUUGGCUCUAAUUUACCUCUGCUCACUCGUUAGACGGCCUUAGGGGCUACUCUUGACUAAAGGCACUGGGACCUUUUUUCUGGGUCCCAAAUUCAAAUUGUGAUUCAAAAGUGGCUCUCUGAAGGAGAAUGUGUGAAAAGGUUGGUUAUUUUAUAAAAAGUGUGAAAAAGGAAAAAAAUGAACCAAGGCUAAGAUGCAAUACAAGACAGAACAAAACCAACAACCCCUGAGCCAAAAUCAAACCCAGACAAACACUCAAACCUGUUGUUGAUUCUAAAAUUUCGGCGACAUGCUUCUACACCCAGCGUCCUGUCAGUGUGUUGAAGUGUGAAGGAAAUGAAUCCUGAAUAAAGGACUGUGUCUUCUCUGUCA
rnacentral:lncRNA from 1 species